CGCACCUGAGGAUCGCGUGUGGACGGGACAGACUUUUCAGCCGUGACGAAAAGUCCACUGACUGUGAGGAAUUAAAGGCCAGAGCAGCACAGGAACAUUGAGAACUUCAGUGACACAACAGCCUCCUCCUCGUCCAGGGCCGGAGGACAGCAGGGUCCAUCCAUGAGACAAACCCAGCCAGCGCCAAGAAUGAGACACAGGAAAGCCAGAAGAACCCACUGAGACAGUGUCGGUGGUAAAGUAGUGGAUUGGAGUUUUGCUUUUCAUAUUAUUUCCCUCCAUCCACAUUAUUCCAGCACCUUAUCCACAACUCCUUACAGCAUGUGGUCAAAUACCUUUACAUGAGAUCGUGUGGCUAAUAUUCAAUACUAUUAGUUAACCAUGUUAAUUUACCUUACAUCAUUUCUCAGCAAUAAUUUAGUCCUUUAAUUCUAGUACGAUUGUGUUAUUGGAACUUGACAAAUCUUGGGGACAUUUCAACUUUGUUAAUAAGGGAAUUCUGCCUUAAAUUAGUCCUUAAACUAAUUUAAAACAAUAAUAAUAAAGCUAUAAUAAAACCAUAAACAUCAGAUUGUUCUGUCUCACUUUGGGUUACAACAUUUUUCACAGAUAAUCAGGAUUGUUUUAAUUAAUAUUAUUUAAUAUGAUAGUUCACUGAGAGCUUACAUUUGUUGAAUUCAGGUGAAAUGUCUUUACCUAACAAUGUGUACCACCAUUAAUAGUUUGUUGUUGAAUAGUAAAAAAAAACUAAAAAAAAAA